UGGGGAAUAUUAGGCAAUGGGCGAAAGCCUGACCUAGCAACGCCGCGUGAGGGAAGAAGGUCUUCGGAUUGUAAACCUCUGUCCUUGGUGAAGAACACAAUGACAUUAGCCAAGGGAGAAAGCUCCGGCUAACUACGUGCCAGCAGCCGCGGUAAUACGUAGGGGGCGAGCGUUGUCCGGAAUGAUUGGGCGUAAAGGGCGCGUAGGCGGCCUGCUAAGUCUGGAGUGAAAGUCCUGCUUUCAAGGUGGGAAUUGCUUUGGAUACUGGGAGGCUGGAGUGCAGGAGAGGAAAGCGGAAUUACCGGCGUAGCGGUGAAAUGCGUAGAGAUCGGUAGGAACACCAGUGGCGAAGGCGGCUUUCUGGACUGUAACUGACGCUGAGGCGCGAAAGCGUGGGGAGCAAACAGGAUUAGAUACCCUGGUAGU
rnacentral:rRNA from 1 species